rnacentral:lncRNA from 1 species
CGGUGGAGUAAACACUUAUCAUUUUGAUUUUACGUUGCGGGUCCCUUUUGCUUUUUUUACUCGUACCCUGAUAUGGAUUGAAGUUGAAUUUUUUUUAGAUAAAUUGAAGAGAAAAAAGAGAGAAUAAAUCCAUAAGAUUAUAGACGAUUUUCAUAUUUUAAUUACUUAGCUUUAACUCUUCUACUCCUCUAAAAGAAAAUCACCUUUUGUAAACACUUUGCGAGCAUAUUAUCUCCUGCCAAAAAAAAAUAUAAACCAAAUGCUUUUUCUUUCAGAUUAUAAGAACCAAAGUUUAAAUAAUGAGAUUUCCCUUUGAAAUCACGUUGAUCUGUAAAUUAAUCAGCUACCUGGUGCCUAAUUUAAGAUUGAGCGACACGGCGGAGUAGAGGCUUUACUGGGAAAUCACCACCCUUAACUGAUUGACAAGAAUGGAAUGUGUCCAUGGCACGUGAAAAGGGCUCUGGAAUGUCAGGUGAUCCCAAAUUAAACAGUGGCUGGAUUGUUAUGCUUGAAUUAUAAUGGAUGAGUGUUGAUGUUGCGAGAACAAAUGUAAGCUACAUCGUCGCCAUCCGGGAAAGAUCUAAGCGAUUAUACGCUGUGGAAAAUCCAAGAAUAAAACAAUAUAGUAACAAUCCUGGGUAGUUCUUUGGGUAAACAGUCUGUGCUUAAGCAAAUGCCCUGCCGUUCCCGUGACAUCCGGCCUCUUCUUUUCUUAUUUCCACUCUCUGAUGUACAAUGAGCUAAUUGCUUGUGGCACCGCUACCAGGAUCCUCUCUUCACGUCACUAGAUCAGUGCGUGGAGGAGAUGAAGGAAAGGCGGAACUGCAAACUAGAAAGAGAACAUGCGAUUUAUGAAAAGGUCGGGAUAUCUCUCACGUUGCUUUCAUGCUCCAAUCUUCAUUUCCAGCUCUUUUUUCUCUGAUUUUAAUGAUUAAUUUGAACUCAUGUUGCUAUGCCUUUGAAUUAGAUACAUAGGUUUGUAAUUAUAGAAAAGCUUGUUGGCUAUUGGUUCCUUCUUCUUCUUCUUCUUCUUCUGCUCC